UUUUGGAGGGCUAGGCCGGAAAUGUCCAUGUUGUCUUGAUAGUGGUUUCUCAGCAGCUCGCACACUGACUGCCACGUCGAGCUACGGAGGAAAAGCGGCGUUCUGACCGACUUGGUCCCGUGAGGAGACCGGGACGUCACCGUGAGAAGAGUCGAGGAGCUGUCUGAAACACUCUGACUCCAUCUGUUUCUUUGAGCAAGCUGCUGCAGAGGCGUCAUGAGGCAACUCAAAGGCAAACCCAAAAAAGAAACCUCCAAGGACAAAAAGGAGCGUAAGCAAGCCAUGCAGGAGGCACGCCAGCAGGUGGCCACAAUUGUCCUGCCCACACUGGCUGUGGUGGUGCUGCUCAUCGUGCUCUUUGUUUAUGUGGCCACCAGGCCUGAUGCUAUCGAGUAGACCCUGUUGAUCUACUGAAGAGACAUGGACUACUCGAGGACUUUGACAAAUUGACAGCGGCUUCACCUAAAAGACCAUGUGGCACUCUCUUAACGGGGCAUUGGCCAGUGACAGCCCACCAUUCGUCUUAAUUAAAGCCUCCUCCAAAGAAGAUGACCAUUUUCAUUAGUAUCAUCAGCAGACUCAUGUGGAUGUCUCACAAUUAUGCAAUAUGUGACUUACCAAAGGACUUGUGUUCAACUUGCCAAGUGUGUCCAGAAGUAAACAGUCCUCAUCAGUUGUGUCGUGUCCUAGUGUGACUAGGUGCUGUUGUUGUACAUACAGUAUUUCAGGUCACUGCAACAUGAUCCUGGUGUCAGACUAAAAAUAUGAAUAACGUGCAUGGAGACAAUGUUAGAAGAAUCCAGUUUUUCCUGACGAGCUAGCUAUUUGAAUUCAACACUCAAGCAUUUCAUUGAAUGUCACUGAAGAAUCUGUCCAUGCAUCGUUUAGCUGCAUUUCUUCUCAUUGUAUUUUGAAAAAUGCCACUUCAGGGGGCUUUCAUCGUCCUACUUGUGCUCACACAAAGUCCGCUGGCCGCUGAGAUCUUAUCUUUCCAUACCCAGUGCUGUGUUAAGUAUGUCAACCUUUGCCUAUUGUUUCAUGGAAUGGGUUCGUACUGUUAGGGCUGGGUGAUAUGGCCAAAAACAUUGCCGUAAUAGAAAUGUUCUAUUUUCGAAUCGAUAUUGAAAAUUAUCUUCACGUUUACUGCCAGAUAUUUUUUUCAUGUGAUUGUAAUUUUGGACAAAAACGACAAAAGCUUCACACAUUUGAGGUAAAAUUUAAAGGCAAACACUAUUAAGGAAAAUGUAUUUUUGCUACAAUUUUACUACAUAAUUACCCAGCCCUAUGCACACACCCUAUGAACACCUGCAGUUCUUCAUCCGUAUUGUCACUGUUGCCUUAAAUUAUUGUAAACCAUACCUUUGAGUCUUUCAUGACAUCUGUGCAGAAGUGCCUUACCAGAUUUUCAGCUGUUAAUUCAGUUCACUUUAUUUUUUAUUAAAAAACAAUGGAAGUUUG